CACGUAGGGGACGAGCGUUGUCCGGAUUCAUUGGGCGUAAAGCGCGCGCAGGCGGCGGUGCUGGCCCGGCGUGAAAGCCCCCGGCUCAACCGGGGAGGGUCGUCGGGGACCGCACCGCUUGAGGGCGGUAGGGGCUGGUGGAAUGCCUGGUGUAGUGGUGAAAUGCGCAGAUAUCGAGGAGACACCGGUGGCGAAGGCGACAUACCUGGCCGU
rnacentral:rRNA from 1 species